AUUGAACGCUGGCGGCAUGCCUAACACAUGCAAGUCGAGCGAGCGGCGGACGGGUGAGUAAUGUAUGGGGACUGCCUGAUAGAGGGGGAUAACUACUGGAAACGGUGGCUAAUACCGCAUACUAUCGGAUAACCCAUAUGGGAUUAGCUAGUAGGUGGGGUAAAGGCUCACCUAGGAGACGCUCUCUAGCUGGUCUGAGAGGAGGAUCAGCCAAACUGGGACUGAGACACGGCCCAGACUCCUACGGAGGCAGCAGUGGGGAAUUUUGGACAAUGGGCGCAAGCCUGAUUCAGCCAGGCCGCGUGUAUGAAGAAGGCCUUAGGGUUGUAAAGUACUUUCAGCGGGGAAGCGUUACCCGCAGAAGAAGCACCGGCUAACUCCGUGCCAGCAGCCGCGGUAAUUC
rnacentral:rRNA from 1 species